ACGGGAGGCAGCAGUGGGGAAUAUUGCACAAUGGGGGAAACCCUGAUGCAGCGACGCCGCGUGAAGGAAGAAGUAUCUCGGUAUGUAAACUUCUAUCAGCAGGGAAGAUAAUGACGGUACCUGACUAAGAAGCCCCGGCUAACUACGUGCCAGCAGCCGCGGUAAUACGUAGGGGGCAAGCGUUAUCCGGAUUUACUGGGUGUAAAGGGAGCGUAGACGGCAUGGCAAGUCUGAUGUGAAAACCCGGGGCUCAACCCCGGGACUGCAUUGGAAACUGUCAAGCUAGAGUGCAGGAGGGGUAAGCGGAAUUCCUAGUGUAGCGGUGAAAUGCGUAGAUAUUAGGAGGAACACCGGUGGCGAAGGCGGCUUACUGGACUGUAACUGACGUUGAGGCUCGAAAGCGUGGGGAGCAAACAGGAUUAGAUACCCUGGUA
rnacentral:rRNA from 1 species